GAUGAACGCUGGCGGCGCGCCUAGCACAUGCAAGUCGAACGGUUAAAGCACCUUUUAGGUGUGUAUAAAGUGGCGAACGGCUGAGUAACACGUGGGCAACCUGCCCUCCUCUUGGGGAUAGCCUCGGGAAACCGAGGAUAAUACCCGAUACUUCAAUGUGGCCGCAUGACGACAUUGAGAAAGCUUUUGCGGAGAAGGAUGGGCCCGCGGCCUGUUAGCUUGUUGGUGGGGUAGAGGCCUACCAAGGCAAUGAUGGGUAGCUGGGUUGAGAGACCGACCAGCCAGAUUGGGACUGAGACACGGCCCAGACUCCUACGGGAGGCAGCAGUGGGGAAUCUUGCACAAUGGGCGAAAGCCUGAUGCAGCGACGCCGCGUGCGGGACGAAGGCCUUUCGGGUUGUAAACCGCUUUUCAGCAGGGACGAGGCGAAAGUGACGGUACCUGCAGAAGAAGCCCCGCUAACUACCA
rnacentral:rRNA from 2 species